GGGUUGUGAGGUUAAGCGACUAAGCGUACACGGUGGAUGCCCUGGCAGUCAGAGGCGAUGAAGGACGUGCUAAUCUGCGAUAAGCGUCGGUAAGGUGAUAUGAACCGUUAUAACCGGCGAUUUCCGAAUGGGGAAACCCAGUGUGUUUCGACACACUAUCAUUAACUGAAUCCAUAGGUUAAUGAGGCGAACCGGGGGAACUGAAACAUCUAAGUACCCCGAGGAAAAGAAAUCAACCGAGAUUCCCCCAGUAGCGGCGAGCGAACGGGGAGCAGCCCAGAGUCUGAAUCAGUGUGUGUGUUAGUGGAAGUGUCUGGAAAGGCGCGCGAUACAGGGUGACAGCCCCGUACACAAAAAUGCACAUGCUGUGAGCUCGAUGAGUAGGGCGGGACACGUGGUAUCCUGUCUGAAUAUGGGGGGACCAUCCUCCAAGGCUAAAUACUCCUGACUGACCGAUAGUGAACCAGUACCGUGAGGGAAAGGCGAAAAGAACCCCGGCGAGGGGAGUGAAAAAGAACCUGAAACCGUGUACGUACAAGCAGUGGGAGCCCUGAUUUAUCAGGGUGACUGCGUACCUUUUGUAUAAUGGGUCAGCGACUUAUAUUCUGUAGCAAGGUUAACCGAAUAGGGGAGCCGGAGGGAAACCGAGUCUUAACUGGGCGUUAAGUUGCAGGGUAUAGACCCGAAACCCGGUGAUCUAGCCAUGGGCAGGUUGAAGGUUGGGUAACACUAACUGGAGGACCGAACCGACUAAUGUUGAAAAAUUAGCGGAUGACUUGUGGCUGGGGGUGAAAGGCCAAUCAAACCGGGAGAUAGCUGGUUCUCCCCGAAAGCUAUUUAGGUAGCGCCUCGUGAAUUCAUCUCCGGGGGUAGAGCACUGUUUCGGCAAGGGGGUCAUCCCGACUUACCAACCCGAUGCAAACUGCGAAUACCGGAGAAUGUUAUCACGGGAGACACACGGCGGGUGCUAACGUCCGUCGUGAAGAGGGAAACAACCCAGACCGCCAGCUAAGGUCCCAAAGUCAUGGUUAAGUGGGAAACGAUGUGGGAAGGCCCAGACAGCCAGGAUGUUGGCUUAGAAGCAGCCAUCAUUUAAAGAAAGCGUAAUAGCUCACUGGUCGAGUCGGCCUGCGCGGAAGAUGUAACGGGGCUAAACCAUGCACCGAAGCUGCGGCAGCGACACUGUGUGUUGUUGGGUAGGGGAGCGUUCUGUAAGCCUGUGAAGGUGUGCUGUGAGGCAUGCUGGAGGUAUCAGAAGUGCGAAUGCUGACAUAAGUAACGAUAAAGCGGGUGAAAAGCCCGCUCGCCGGAAGACCAAGGGUUCCUGUCCAACGUUAAUCGGGGCAGGGUGAGUCGACCCCUAAGGCGAGGCCGAAAGGCGUAGUCGAUGGGAAACAGGUUAAUAUUCCUGUACUUGGUGUUACUGCGAAGGGGGGACGGAGAAGGCUAUGUUGGCCGGGCGACGGUUGUCCCGGUUUAAGCGUGUAGGCUGGUUUUCCAGGCAAAUCCGGAGAAUCAAGGCUGAGGCGUGAUGACGAGGCACUACGGUGCUGAAGCAACAAAUGCCCUGCUUCCAGGAAAAGCCUCUAAGCAUCAGGUAACAUCAAAUCGUACCCCAAACCGACACAGGUGGUCAGGUAGAGAAUACCAAGGCGCUUGAGAGAACUCGGGUGAAGGAACUAGGCAAAAUGGUGCCGUAACUUCGGGAGAAGGCACGCUGAUAUGUAGGUGAAGCGACUUGCUCGUGGAGCUGAAAUCAGUCGAAGAUACCAGCUGGCUGCAACUGUUUAUUAAAAACACAGCACUGUGCAAACACGAAAGUGGACGUAUACGGUGUGACGCCUGCCCGGUGCCGGAAGGUUAAUUGAUGGGGUCAGCGCAAGCGAAGCUCUUGAUCGAAGCCCCGGUAAACGGCGGCCGUAACUAUAACGGUCCUAAGGUAGCGAAAUUCCUUGUCGGGUAAGUUCCGACCUGCACGAAUGGCGUAAUGAUGGCCAGGCUGUCUCCACCCGAGACUCAGUGAAAUUGAACUCGCUGUGAAGAUGCAGUGUACCCGCGGCAAGACGGAAAGACCCCGUGAACCUUUACUAUAGCUUGACACUGAACACUGGUCCUUGAUGUGUAGGAUAGGUGGGAGGCUUUGAAGUGUGGACGCCAGUCUGCAUGGAGCCGUCCUUGAAAUACCACCCUUUAAUGGCUGGUGUUCUAACGUUGGCCCCUUACCGGGGUUGCGGACAGUGUCUGGUGGGUAGUUUGACUGGGGCGGUCUCCUCCUAAAGAGUAACGGAGGAGCACGAAGGUUGGCUAAUCCUGGUCGGACAUCAGGAGGUUAGUGCAAUGGCAUAAGCCAGCUUGACUGCGAGCGUGACGGCGCGAGCAGGUGCGAAAGCAGGUCAUAGUGAUCCGGUGGUUCUGAAUGGAAGGGCCAUCGCUCAACGGAUAAAAGGUACUCCGGGGAUAACAGGCUGAUACCGCCCAAGAGUUCAUAUCGACGGCGGUGUUUGGCACCUCGAUGUCGGCUCAUCACAUCCUGGGGCUGAAGUAGGUCCCAAGGGUAUGGCUGUUCGCCAUUUAAAGUGGUACGCGAGCUGGGUUUAGAACGUCGUGAGACAGUUCGGUCCCUAUCUGCCGUGGGCGCUGGAGAACUGAGGGGGGCUGCUCCUAGUACGAGAGGACCGGAGUGGACGCAUCACUGGUGUUCGGGUUGUCAUGCCAAUGGCACUGCCCGGUAGCUAAAUGCGGAAGAGAUAAGUGCUGAAAGCAUCUAAGCACGAAACUUGCCCCGAGAUGAGUUCUCCCUGAGACCUGGAGUCUCCUGAAGGAACGUUGAAGACGACGACGUUGAUAGGCCGGGUGUGUAAGCGCAGCGAUGCGUUGAGCUAACCGGUACUAAUGAACCGUGAGGCUUAACCUUACAACGCCGAAGGUGUUU
rnacentral:rRNA from 2 species